UGGGGAAUUUUGGACAAUGGGCGAAAGCCUGAUCCAGCAAUGCCGCGUGUGUGAAGAAGGCCUUCGGGUUGUAAAGCACUUUUGUCCGGAAAGAAAUCCUUGGCUCUAAUACAGUCAGGGGAUGACGGUACCGGAAGAAUAAGCACCGGCUAACUACGUGCCAGCAGCCGCGGUAAUACGUAGGGUGCAAGCGUUAAUCGGAAUUACUGGGCGUAAAGCGUGCGCAGGCGGUUUGCUAAGACCGAUGUGAAAUCCCCGGGCUCAACCUGGGAACUGCAUUGGUGACUGGCAGGCUAGAGUAUGGCAGAGGGGGGUAGAAUUCCACGUGUAGCAGUGAAAUGCGUAGAGAUGUGGAGGAAUACCGAUGGCGAAGGCAGCCCCCUGGGCCAAUACUGACGCUCAUGCACGAAAGCGUGGGGAGCAAACAGGAUUAGAUACCCUGGUAGUCCACGCCCUAAACGAUGUCAACUAGUUGUUGGGGACUUCAUUUCCUUAGUAACGUAGCUAACGCGUGAAGUUGACCGCCUGGGGAGUACGGUCGCAAGAUUAAAACUCAAAGGAAUUGACGGGGUCAUAGCUGUUUCCU
rnacentral:rRNA from 1 species